GGCCUGCUAGCCCAGUCCGCGAGAGCAUCGUGUUAAUAACAUGAACGUCCCAGGUUCGAUCCCUGUGUAGGCCA
rnacentral:tRNA from 1 species